GCCGCAGUAUUUUAACUGUGCAAAGGUAGCAUAAUCACUUGCUUUUUAAUUGAAAGCUUGUAUGAAUGGUCAGAUGAGAUAUAUUCUUUCUUUAUUUUAUUUGAUUUAAUUUUAUUUUUUAGUUAAAAAGCUAAAAUUUUUUUAUUAGACGAGAAGACCCUAUAGAACUUUACAAUUUUCUUUGUUAUUUAGUAUUUUGUUUUUAAUUAUUGAUUAUUUAGUUUUUUGUUUUGUUGGGGUGACAGGUAAAUUUAUUUAACUUUAUUUAAUUCAAUUUCAUUAAUUUAUGAUUUUUUGAUCCAUUUUUGUGAUUAUAAGAUUAAGUUACCUUAGGGAUAACAGCGUAAUUUUACUGGAGAGUUCAUAUUAAUAGUAAAGUUUGCGACCUCGAUGUUGGAUUAAA
rnacentral:rRNA from 1 species